CGACUAAUUUUUGCUAUAUAAGACAGGGUUUUAUCUGAGUAAGCUGUUUGUUUUAUAGCUACUUUGAAAGUUUCUCACGAAAAGUAUUGUUGACUAAGCGAGAAGGAUUCUUCUACUACCUUUAAUGACCAUCAGGACAACGUCGGUUGAUCAAAGGUUACCAUCGCUGAAGGAAUUGGAUCGAAGCAUUGUUUACCGAAUAUUUAUGUGUCAAGUGACGGGUGAUAACAAAAGACUAUCAUAAUCAACAUGCUGGCCUGCCUCAGCCCGAUAACAUAUUUAUUUUUCGUAUAUCUUAAAUUUAUUUAUUUUUACUACGUCUUCUUCUGUGAUAUUUUAAGUGUCGUGUCUUCCGUGUCUCUGGUGCUGUUUUUCUGUCUACUCAAGACUGUUUGGAUAGUGAGCGAAUUUUUGUUCGAUAUCCAUGACACAUACGUACUUCUCAAUAAAUAUGUUUCUAGUGUAUAGAUUGAAUUUAUGUUAUCGAAUAUUUUGUACGUAGUUCAUAAACUUAUUAUUUUACGUGA